UACGGGGGGGGCUAGCGUUGUUCGGAAUCACUGGGCGUAAAGGGCGCGUAGGUGGCGCUCCAAGUCUGUGGUGAAAGCUCGACGCUCAACGUCGAGUCGGCCAUAGAGACUGGAGGGCUCGAGCACUGUAGGGGCAGAUGGAAUUCCGGGUGUAGCGGUGGAAUGCGUAGAGAUCCGGAAGAACACCGGUGGCGAAGGCGGUCUGCUGGGCAGUUGCUGACACUGAGGCGCGACAGCGUGGGGAGCAAACAGG
rnacentral:rRNA from 1 species